GAUGAACGCUAGCUACAGGCUUAACACAUGCAAGUCGAGGGGCAGCGAGGGCGUAGCAAUACGCCUGUCGGCGACCGGCGCACUGGUGAGUAACACGUAUGCGACCUGCCCCCUACAGGGGUAUAACCCGUAGAAAUGCGGACUAAUCCCCCCAUAGUCCCGUUGGCUGCAUGGCCAACGGGGGAAAGGUCAGCCGGUAGGGGAUGGGCAUGCGGCGCAUUAGCUAGUUGGCGGGGCAACGGCCCACCAAGGCGACGAUGCGUAGGGGUUCUGAGAGGAAGGUCCCCCACACUGGUACUGAGACACGGACCAGACUCCUACGGGAGGCAGCAGUGGGGGAUAUUGCACAAUGGGGGAAACCCUGGUGCAGCAACGCCGCGUGAAGGAAGAAGGUCUUCGGAUUGUAAACUUUUGUCCUUGGUGAAGAUAAUGACGGUAGCCAAGGAGGAAGCUCCGGCUAACUACGUG
rnacentral:rRNA from 1 species